rnacentral:rRNA from 1 species
GAUCAAGUGAAAGAAGGGCAUUUGGUGGAUGCCUUGGCAUGCACAGGCGAUGAAGGACGUGAUACGCUGCGAAAAGCCGUGGGGAGCUGCGAAUGAGCUUUGAUCCAUGGAUCUCCGAAUGGGGCAACCCACCUUAGAUGCUUGGAAAAUCAUUUUGGUUGGCAUCUGGUCCCGAAGCCGUAAGGCUUCGCAAGGCCAGAGGCCGUCGCCGGUUAUCCGGCGUCAAGAAACCAAAGUGGUUUCCAAGCAUUGUUGAAAGGUAUCUUAUUCUGAAUACAUAGGGAUAAGAAGCGAACGCAGGGAACUGAAACAUCUAAGUACCUGCAGGAAAGGACAUCAACCGAGACUCCGCAAGUAGUGGCGAGCGAACGCGGACCAGGCCAGUGGCAAUGAGGAAUAAAGUGGAACGAUCUGGAAAGUUCGGC